rnacentral:lncRNA from 1 species
GGAGUUAUGGGACCCCAAAUUCCUUUGAGGAAGGUCCUAUGUUGAGUGGAAGUGUUGGGAUGAAGUUCUGGGUGAAGUGCAGUGAAAAAAGGGUGUGGUAAACGUUUACAAUGAGCUGGUAAACGUUUACGCGUGUGUUUUGUCCAAUCUGUACAGAAAGUCCUUCAUAGGAAACCCUUUUUUUGUACACAGGGCACCAUUAUGUCAAAUCUUCACUUUUAGGCAUUUUUGGUUUGGUUUUUGAUGAUUUUGGGUUUAGGUUGUAUGGUGGGGGGUGGGAAGCUAAUUUUGGGGACCCCAAAUUCCUUGGAGGAAGUGCUUAUGUUGAGUGGAAGUGUUGGGAUGAAGUUUUGGGUGAAGUGUAGUAAAAAANGGUGUGGUAAACGUUUACAAUGAGCUGGUAAACGUUUACGCGCGUGUUUUGUCCAAUCUGUAAAGAAAGUCCUUCACAAGGAACCCUUUUUUUAUACACAUGGCACCAUUGUGUCAAAUCUUCACUUUUAGGCAUUUUUGGUUUGGUUUUUGAUGAUUUUGGGUUUAGGUUGUGUGGUGGGGGGUGGGAAGCUGAUUUUGGGGACCUCAAAUUCCUUGGAGGAAGUGCUUAUGUUGAGUGGAAGUGUUGGGAUGAAGUUCUGGGUGAAGUGUAAUAAAAAAGGGUGUGGUAAACGUUUAAAAUGAGCCAGUAAACGCUUACGCGUGUGUUUUGUCCAAUCUGUACAGAAAGUCCUUCACAGAGAACCCUUUUUUUGUACACAGGGCACCAUUAUGUCAAAUCUUCACUUUUAGGAAUUUUUGGUUUGGUUUUUGAUGAUUUUGGGUUUAGGUUGUGUGGUGGGGGGUGGGAAGCUGAUUUUGGGGACCCCAAAUUCCUUGGAGGAAGUGUUUAUGUUGAGUGGAAGUGUUGGGAUGAAGUUUUGGGUGAAGUGUAGUCAAAAAGGGUGUGGUAAACGUUUACAAUGAGCUGGUAAACGUUUACGC